GUUAGUUUGGUUCUGGUUAAAAUUUUAGCUUGUUCAAGGGUAACACAUGGGAGUUUAAUGCGUGCCGGUGAGGUUGAUACUGUUCUAAAUGAGUUUUGAAGGAGGUUUUAAUGAUAUUAUAAUGCUUCCGUGUAGCACAGCACCAGUGUAAAGUGUUAGGACUCAGGCGCAAGCCUGUACUAGUCAUUGAAGAAAAAGUUGGUUAAUUCUGUGCCAGCUGCUGCGGUUAUACAGAAAACUUGAGUUAAAAGUCUCGGCAAAAAUUUGGUUAACCUGUUUGUAAGCUGUUAGGGGAGUUAAAAGUGGCUUAUGGGUAAAAUCUGUUGGUUCUUUUGGUUUAUUUCCGCUGGGUCUGUGUAGGUGAAGCCAAGAGAAUUUAAGGGUGAGACUGGGAUUAGAUACCCCAUUAUUCUUAGACACUAAUUAUUUGCUGCCUGGGUAUUAAGAGAGGUCUUAAAACUCAAAGGACUUGGCGGUGCUUUAUUCUAAUUAGGGGAACCUGUCCUGUAAUCGAUAAUCCACGCUAAAGUGCUCUUUCGGAUGUUGGUGAAGAUAAGUUUGUAUACUUCCGUUGUCAGCCCAUGUUGUGAGACAUUAGUAUGGGCAAUUUAAUUUAUUGUUUUGACAUCAGGUCAAAGUGCAGCUUAUACGAAAGGAGAGAUGGGUUACAUUGAGAGAGUUUUCGAAUGAAAGGAUGGAAAGUAGCCUUUUUGAAGUUGGACUUAAAAGUAAUGGCUUUUUAGUAAGGGGCUCUGAACGUUGCUCUAAAGCGUGCACAAAUCGCCCGUCGCUCUUGCUAAGGAAGUAAGAUAAGUCGUAACAUAGUAAGAGUAGCUGAAGCUGUUCUUAGUUG
rnacentral:ncRNA from 1 species